GAGGGUAUUGCUCAGUGGGAGCACAUGCUUAGCAUGCGUGAGAUCCUAGGUUCAAUCCCCAGUACCCUCA
rnacentral:tRNA from 1 species